AGAGUUUGAUCAUGGCUCAGAACGUACGCUGGCGGCACGCCUUAUACAUGCAAGUCGAACGAAGUAGCAAUACUUAGUGGCAGACGGGUGAGUAACAUGUAGGUAUCUUCCCUUUGGUGAGGAAUAACACGAGGAAACUUGUGCUAAUACCUCAUAAGUCUUUACGGAGAAAGCUUUAUGCGCCGAAGGAUGAGCCUGCACUUGAUUAGUUUGUUGGUGGGGUAAUGGCCUACCAAGACUUUGAUCUAUAGCUGAUCUGAGAGGAUGAUCAGCCACAUUGGGACUGAGACACGGCCCAAACUCCUACGGGAGGCAGCAGUAGGGAAUAUUGCACAAUGGAGGAAACUCUGAUGCAGCGAUGCCGCGUGAGUGAAGAAGGCCUUUGGGUUGUAAAGCUCUUUCGUCGGGGAAGAAAAUGACUGUACCCGAAUAAGAAGGUCCGGCUAACUUCGUGCCAGCAGCCGCGGUAAUACGAAGGGACCUAGCGUAGUUCGGAAUUACUGGGCUUAAAGAGUUCGUAGGUGGUUAAAAAAGUUGGUGGUGAAAUCCCAGAGCUUAACUCUGGAACUGCCAUCAAAACUUUUUAGCUAGAGUAUGAUAGAGGAAAGCAGAAUUUCUAGUGUAGAGGUGAAAUUCGUAGAUAUUAGAAAGAAUACCAAUUGCGAAGGCAGCUUUCUGGAUCAUUACUGACGCUGAGGAACGAAAGCAUGGGUAGCGAAGAGGAUUAGAUACCCUCGUAGUCCAUGCCGUAAACGAUGUGUGUUAGACGUUGGAAAUUUAUUUUCAGUGUCGCAGCGAAAGCAUUAAACACACCGCCUGGGGAGUACGACCGCAAGGUUAAAACUCAAAUGAAUUGACGGGGACCCGCACAAGUAGUGGAGCAU
rnacentral:rRNA from 1 species